AUUGAAUGCUGGCGGCAGGCUUAACACAUGCAAGUCGAACGAGUGGCGGACGGGUGAGUAAUGCUUGGGACUCUCGCUUAUGGAGGGGGAUAACUACGGGAAACUGUAGCUAAUACCGCGUACCAUAGGAUGAGCCCAAGUGGGAUUAGGUAGUGGGUGGGGUAAAGGCUCACCACGCCGACGAUCUCUAGCUGGUCUGCGAGGAUGACCGGCCACACUGGAACUGAGACACGGCCCAGACGCCUACGGGAGGCACCAGUGGGGAAUAUUGCGCAAUGGGGGCAACCUGACGCAGCCAUGCCGCGUGAAUGAAGAAGGCCUUCGGGUUGUAAAGUUCUUUCGGUAGGGAGGCGUUAACUACAGAAGAAGCACCGGCUAACUCCGUGCCAGCAGCCGCGGUAAUAC
rnacentral:rRNA from 1 species